CAUUGUUCUUCGGAUUAGGUUAUCUCGAACAGGCAACUGAUCGAGCAGCUGUGGCUCGACGGCGACCGACUCGAUGGAGAUUUUUCUUUUUCAUCUCCACUGCUCCUUGAUUUCACUUCAUUGUGUAGCUGAAAUUCCUCUCUCACCAGCUAGCGAACAAAAAACAUGAGACUCCAAUUGUGCUCGUGAGACGGGCGGUAGUUGUGCUCAUGUGGAUAUCAAAGAGGUGCGAAUACUCUGAUCGUGCUUAGAUUGGCUUGACUCUCGAGAUUCGCAAAGGUUCUGCGUAUCUAGAGGCAACACUAUAGGCCUACCUUGUGCUAUAAAUGCAUGAACCUGCUACAUUGCCACCAGUACGUGGCACCGCCAACCAACUAGCUUUCCAUGGUAAAGACAAAAAAAAAAACAAAACAGGUUAUCAUUAUCACUCUCCUUAAUACGUGGAAGGAUUUUUGUUUUUUUGACAUACAUUCUCAGUGUUUGCAACCUGGAAUAUUUAGAGCA